rnacentral:misc_RNA from 1 species
AAGCAAAAAGAACAAGAAGCGCUGCAAAGAGGCUUCGGAGGGCCGAAGGCAGCGACGGGGGUGAUAUCUGGAGGAAGAAGAAGUGAACCGGGCAGCGCAGGCGAGGAGGGGUGUGCGCGUCGGCGCGCGUUGUGCGCGCGCCAGCUCACGUCGCGCUCUUCUUUUUCGGCGGCGCCCCUUCUCCGGCUCCUCCUCGGCUCCGAAAGGCGGAACUCCUGGCAGCCAGCGCUGCCGAGCGUGGCGGCUCGCGGCUGUGUCGGGUCGCGCCGGGCCGGCCUGCGUGCGUGCGUGGCCGGCUGGCGCGACGCGCGCGAGACUCCGUUCCCACGCUCGAUGCCAGGCCGCCGCUGCCUAGUCACCCCCCCCCUCUCCCUCCUCCCUUCAAUCCCCCCCCGUGCCUCCUCCUCGUCGUCGGCGGCGGCCGCUGCCUGAACGCUGUUGCUGAGAAAAGGGGGUACGAGUAAUCGGAGUUGGGUCCUCCGGGAGGGACAGGACACACGGCACGCUCUCUUCUCCGAGUUCCGCGGCGGCAGUGGAGAGAGGACCGCCUACCUGCCAGCCUGCGAGCCGCGACAUCGCGCGCGGUGCAUUCCGUUACCGUCGCCGCUGGCUCGGUGCUCGCGGCUUGCGCCCCCUCCACACACACCCCCUGCCACCCCUCCUGCUGCGCAGCAAUAACACUCUCGCCGCCACCGGUGCAGCAGCGGCCGCCGCCGCUGCUGGAGUGAGUUUGUCGUCGCCGCCGUCCGCUGCUGCUCGGUCGCGCAGCAGUGUUGUGGUGCGCUCGCUCCCGAGCUGGAUCUGACGAGCGGUGUCAGAAUGGUGGCUUCGCCGCCGCCCCUACUGCCGGCUGUGUCGCAGCAGCAGCAGCAGCAGCAGCAAUCGCCGCAGCAGCGGUACGGACUCUCGCCAGCACCGCCGUCGCCCCUGCUUCCGCCGCCACCUCCGGUGUCGAGCAUGGCCAACGCCAGCGUCGCCAACGGGCCGUCGUCGACCGAGCGUCCCACACCGUCCAGGGCCAGCGAGAUACGGCGGGCCACCAAACCCAUAAUGGAAAAACGGCGGCGCGCCAGGAUCAACCAGUGCCUCACCGAGCUCAAGGCGCUCAUCCUGGACGCACUCAACAAGGAUCCGUCACGUCACUCGAAGCUGGAGAAAGCGGAUAUCCUGGAGAUGACCGUGCGCCACUUGCAGAACGUCCAGCGUCACCAAGUUGCAGCCGCCCUGUCCACGGACCCGGUGGUGAUGGGCAAGUUCCGCGCUGGCUUCGCCGAGUGCGCCACCGAGGUCAGCCGCUACGUGUCGCGACUCGAAGGGGUCGAACCGUCCCUACGCCAGCGGCUGGUCGGCCACCUAACAUCGUGCGUGAACGGCUUCAACGGCACCUCGGCGGGCGGACCCACGUCGCCCCUGGGAGGCGUCGCGCCGGGCCUGCUGAUUUCGCCGCUCAGCGUCCAGAUCCCCACCCUCGGUGACCUGCACGGCGUCGCGCACUCCGGGCCCCUCGGCGCGGCUGCGGUCGGAGGCGGCGGAGCUCCGGGACGCCUUCAGCUCGGAGGUCUUCCCCUCAUCCCCAGCAGGCUGCCCAACGGUGACCUGGCGUUCGUUUUACCGACUGUCGCGGCGACAGCUUCCGGCGGAGGCGCCGCCGCAUCGUCAAACAGCGCCGCCGUAGCCGCCGCCGCUGCUGCUGCUGCGGCGGCGGCUGCUGGGCCGCCAUCGUCCUGGGGACCUCCGACGCCGACAAACACGUCGACGCCGACGUCGCCGCACCCUCCUCGGUCGCCGAGUCCUGCGAGCAGCUUCGGCGGCAGCCCCCUGUGCAGUCCCAUGGGCAGCGACAUGGGCAGCGAGGACGCAUCGUCGUGCGACGCCCAAUCGAUGCUCCAGAGGUCGCCCUCCUGCUUCUCGCCGCCGCCUUCGGCGGCCCUCGACGACCUGGCCACGAUGCAUCGGCCACCCUUCUUCCGCGACGUCAUCCUGCGCGGGCUCGAGGCCUCGGCUGCGGCGACGCAGUUCCGGGAAGAGAUGCAGCAGCGGGAGCACUCUCAGAACGAGGAUGACGAAGACGACGAACACGGCAGGGUCGGGGACGACAGCGUCUGGAGGCCCUGGUAGUCAGCUUUGUGAAGUGCCUUUUCUGUACAGAACUAUACUGCUGUUUAUGUUGGAGAAACUUGGCGUUCGUUGAAAAGUUUGUUGACUACGGAAUCGACACCCUAGAUGGGGGCGGGGAAGGAGGCGAGAAUAUGGGCAGCGGGAAGAGCAACGAUUCUUGAAAGCAAGCAACAGAAGAUGCUGUGCCACGGAUCAUGUUACACACGAGACUGAUAAGCAAGGUGAAAGCGAGUGACUUGCGUUUUAUGUGGCUACUGUAGUGCGCCUGGCAGUAUACAGUCUUUGUCAAAAAUUUCGAAACCGCUCUGUGAGUGAUAUUUGUCUCCGGACUUAUCCGAAAGGUUCGUAUGACAAGCCUAUAGCUCUCCGAAACCGAAGAGAGUUAGGAACGAUGCCCUUUUUGAUCUAUGGAGUCCUUGGAGCAACGAAACUUUUCAACCGCCCUAAUAUAUGUUCGACGCGAUGUCUGUUGAUGCUCGGAGCGCUCCGAAACUUUAGGACAGCCUGUAUGUAUAGCGUUGAUCAUUUGCAGUCUUAUGAAGUGCAGGAAUAGUGCACCAAAUGUCGAAGGCUUGAAGUGAAGCUCGUUCACUAGUCCCAGGCUGGUCGUCGUUGUUUGCAACGCUUAUACGUUUGUUCUACCCUUUUACUGGGUUGUGUGGCGUGAAUCUGAGGAUGUAGAGUGACAGAACAACGUUGAAGGCGAAGCGUUUCUUCUUAGCAAACUUUGACACUCUUGAUAACGCUUACGUACGCUUCUAAACGGCAGCACGUUUCGAGAUUAGCUGGAACUUGAAGGACAUCUUGCCAUCGUUUUAUCAGGUCUCUGUAGGACUGCUUUAUAGGGAAGAUGUGCCUUCGUGGAACCUCACGGCGACAGUACCUACGAAUUGUCACGCGCAACCGACGUGUAUAAUGACCAUCGCUUUAGGGGUAUUUUACCUACGAGAACAAAUUCGUGUAGAAUGGAACUUGAUGCCUGCCAUAAGAACCCCAAGCAAGAAAUACCAUAUUUAAAUCAAAACGUCUAGUGAGCCUAAACAAUGCAACACAUAGGGUCAAGUGCGUGGCUAAAUUAAGUGAACUGGCAUGGUAGAAAAGGUUUAGCGUUAACAACGUGGACACCGCUUGGUUGCCUUACGAAGGAUGUUUGGUUACUGUGAUGGUGCUCGUAUUGCUCAUCGCAUCGAUUCGCUUCUAACGCGCCGUUUAUAUCGUAUAUAUUUAUUGACCGGAUGCAAAAUGAUUGUUGCAGAAAAUAAAUAUUUCUGAGGAGCAAGACUGAAUCUGAAAGCUGGGCGGAAGCAUUUUGUAUAAUGUGUGGUAUACCUCGCUCGCUUCACCUUAUUAAUUGGCCUUGCGGUUUCCUUGUCAUGACUGUGGCCUUUUGUUGUUGCUCUCCAGCUACACGUGUUGUAAAGCACUUCUUGUUUCUUGUUGCACGACUCGGAUCUCACCACAUCGACUUUACACCAUACACGACGCUAUUUUCGUACGAAGCUAUGUUAUAGGAGAGUGUGAUACAUGUUUCUGUUUGUACAUAGAUGCUGCGGCAACCACCACAGUGUGCCUUACUGCUGUACAUACGUCCAUUUAAUUACGCGAGCUACAUUCCUCGCAUCUUUUUGUCUGUGUUUGUAUAUUUUUUUUCAUCGAAUCUAAUUGCAUGGCUUUGUUGACGUCAUGUCUUCCGGUGUUACAAGGGACAUGCAUUUCGAACAAACGUUGCCUUUUAUGCUGUGCGAGAUAUCCCGGUUUCGCCAGCUGUUACGUUAAACGGACGAAGAAUCUUGACGUACAGUCCUUUUCAGAAGUUCCUGGGCCAUUGCAGGCGUUUCCAGAGCACCUGCCUGAAAGUUUGUCGGCGUACACUCCUCACAGCCUUUAGCUAAGGAGGAAGCACAAAAUUCUCAAACCAUGGCCUCCGAAAUCGGUCGGCGUGCGGCCGAUAUCGGAGGCCAUAAUCAGGUUUGGCGGUUCUUGCGAACCAAGUGGCCUUCUUUAUGCCAACAAAUCUUACGGCCACUUUGGAGCUUGUGCUUGGCACUCUGGCUUUAGAGAGCUGAUGACGUAAUUAUGUUUUCGAGCGACAAUGUACCGCCUUGUGCGAGCCCUGGUCUUGCACCCAGUGAUCCGAGAACUAUCGAAAACGCCGGUACGCGCACGAUUGCUUCUUGUCCGAGAAUACGCUGAGCAGUUCUCUCCAUGCAGCGAAACGCAGCGUUUGAGUUUUUUGUAUGACUCAUAUAAGGGGGCGUGUACAUUGUGGCCCCCUGGUGUGCAUACGAUGUAACUAAUUACGUUGUCUAUUUGUAUCUUCAUUGAUCUUUUUUGACUUUGACCGACGGAAUGUAAAGGGACCCUAGGGAGGAAACUUUAGUUGCAUUCGUAAAUUGCAUUUCCAGAAUGACCAAUACACUCAUUCUUGUGCCGUGCGCGGAGGGAUCGCUAAGCCAGAAAAUACGGGAGUAUGAAACAAAGUGGCGACGCCUUAUUGAAGUUCCUCCGCCAGUUUCCUGUGACAUGUAUUUUGACCUCGUCUCCGUCGUCCUGGUUAAUUGUCUAUCGAUAAAAAUACUGCAUUGAAUUUUAAAUGAACCGAGGAUUCAAGCUAAAAAGCUUGUACAACUUCCUGUCUGGGCCAAAACGGCCCAAAUACAAGAAGAUAUUUGGAAAACAGUGAUGUCACACGAACAUAUUGGCGCUGCAGCGUGGGCGCUUCAUUCAAGAAAGGGAAGGUUUGCCUCUAUUGUGUCGUAUAAUCAAAAUCUUUGCGCCGAAGAAAUUAAAAUACAGUUUCGAAACAGUACAAACUGAACUAGCUUAGUGGCUCUCUCUACUGUCCCGUUGGCAGCUGCAGUUCAAAACAAGAUCCACCGUAACUAAAUUACGAUUGUGGCCUCGCUUCAAUGUGACCUGAUGUGAGGCAUAACGUACGGGGGCGAACCGCAACAGCAUGAAAUGGCUUUUGUAGAACUCUAAAUUGUGUUUGUAGCGCCGGUCCAUUAUUGUUUACGAAUGCGAUGGACAUUGCACAAGUACUCUUCCCUCUACGCAUGUUAAACAUGCGAACUGUACAUACAAUUACCUCACUUUCGAAUCUGCUGGACCAAGUUCGGUAGCUUGUUACAUAUACUGCAUACAACAUAUGCUGUCUUCCACUGUGCCAGUUCGUUUUUUCUCGAUUGUUCUGUACAAAACACGUGCCUUCUUCUCGAUGCCUUGAUCUCGAAAACGUGUGUUGUUGGGAAAGAGACCUACUGCCUUUUUUGCUCAAGUGCCAAUAAAAAGAAGUAUUCUUUUUCUUA